GUGGGGAAUUUUGGACAAUGGGCGCAAGCCUGAUCCAGCAAUGCCGCGUGCAGGAUGAAGGCCUUCGGGUUGUAAACUGCUUUUGUACGGAACGAAAAGCUUCGGGCUAAUACCCUGGAGUCAUGACGGUACCGUAAGAAUAAGCACCGGCUAACUACGUGCCAGCAGCCGCGGUAAUACGUAGGGUGCAAGCGUUAAUCGGAAUUACUGGGCGUAAAGCGUGCGCAGGCGGUUUUGUAAGACAGAGGUGAAAUCCCCGGGCUCAACCUGGGAACUGCCUUUGUGACUGCAAGGCUAGAGUGCGGCAGAGGGGGAUGGAAUUCCGCGUGUAGCAGUGAAAUGCGUAGAUAUGCGGAGGAACACCGAUGGCGAAGGCAAUCCCCUGGGCCUGUACUGACGCUCAUGCACGAAAGCGUGGGGAGCAAACAGGAUUAGAAACCCCGGUAGUCC
rnacentral:rRNA from 1 species